rnacentral:sRNA from 1 species
GGGGAUGUAAUGGUCUCGACAGGAAUGUUUUAGCAUAGAUAGCAGGCCGAGUAGUUUACGUUACAAACUAAAAACAAUAAACGCAAACAAAAUUAAAACUGCAUUCCGCAACAUUUUUGGUGGAAACCAAGCUGUUGCUUUUGCCUAGUAUUUAGGGAAAUGCAAUCUUUUACUUUCUUUGCUUGUGAGAGAGUUUAAGGUUUAAUAUAGCAAGCUUAAGCUUUCUAUUUGUCUAGAUAGAAGGAUGAAAAUCUUUAGACUGGUAUAUUAUUUAGUUCGUUAGCUAAUUUAUAAUAUAUGAGAUUAAUAGUUAACUAAGCCUGUAGAAGUUUAUGUGGCGAUGUUUUUGGACAGGAGUUCGAUUCUCCUCAUCUCCACCA